ACUGUAAUUAAUAUGCCGUUGGUCCAUGCAUAAUGAGAUGAGCACACAGGAUAACUGGCCCAUUUGAAAGUAGACGUGUGUAUCCCAGAGCAGAGAGAGCCACCUAAGGUCAUUGAGUACUCACCUAGGCCAUGAAGAAGAAGCAAGGAAUCCACAAGGAAACUUCUGUAGACUGGAAGCCCAGUGCCUCAACUUCUGCAUUCUUGCUACAGAAGGGGGCAGGCCUCAAUGCAGGGCUCGUGUGCUGCCUCUGCUAGAUGGGUUUGAGGACCAGCAAUGGCCAGAUGGGCAGGUUCCAGGAUGGAAAAAAGGCCCACCAUUUCAGGAUGCAAAGAAGGAUCCUGCCUCUUUGUGGUCAGAGUAGAGAAUAGAAUGCAGAGAGGUUGGUGGUGUUCUGAUGGAACCAGGGAUGUGCUAGCUUUAGUAAUGUCAUUCUCUGAUCUCUCCAGGUCAGAAGCUGAGAGGGGUGUCUCAUUCAAUGGCCCCAUAAAGUCCAGCUACUAAGAGAAAAAAAAAUAAAAAGUCAGCAUUCUCAUCCGCCACCCCGGAGAAGGUAUGGAACAUAGCCAUCCCUGGCUCCUCACAGACCAUUUCGUUGUGAACCAUAAACCCCACCCAGGUAACAAAUGUACCAUUUCAUGGUCAGCAAGAGCGGUAACUGUCACUGGAGAAAUAAAACUGAGUUAUUGUUUCCAGUUUCCAAAGAACAGCAACAAGUAUAAAAAAAAAAACCUGUAUGUGAUCCCUGUCCUCUUCCCCUCAAGACACCUGCAGCCGUCUAAUGUUUCACUGAAUCCUGCCACAUAAAUGCAUAGCUUCACUCACUAAUCCAUAUGGCUCCAGAGACCACUGUUACAUGAGAACUUAAACUGAUGGGGCCAGGCAGCCCAGGGCAGCUUAAUCUUUUUUAAUUCAAAUCGACUGAGUCCCAUGUGGCCCGGAGAUGAUACCCUAUAUGCUGCAAUCAGACUGACCUAGACUUCUUGUGCUCUAAAUGAUUAAUGAAACUGCCUCGAGUUUGUUUCUAUGGUGACUGGAAACCCGACCCGGACAGAGGAAUCUGCCAUUCACGGUGAAUGGAACGGAAAGAGGGGAACAGGGGGACCCUGGCUGCUGGUGCUGGUCUUGAAGAGAAGAUGCCCAAAUGCCUCAACUCCUCCCCCAGGCCGCUGCUGUGGGUUCAGAAAUUGCAGUGAGGGGAGAGGAAGAAAAUGGCCCUCCUAGGGAAGUUUUAACUCAACAAAACUGCAGAAUUAUUUUAUUCUCCCAAAGUAUUCCUAAAGCAAAUGACCAAAGAAGAAUUGAGGGAAGUUAGUAUUUAAUUCACAUUUGGUUUCCUAAAAUAAAUACAUGAGUAACUUAAAGAAAACAAAACCAUAAAAUCUUUGAUUCCUUCUUUAGAAUGAAUGGUUUUUGUCUACUAUGAACAUGACAAGAGCUGCUGAGUAUUUCGCAUGACCUGUGCACUCUCUGGUUCUAUGUAGUUUUAUUUGUUUCCCCUCCUUAUUUAACAUAGGCUGAAUUUGGGCUUCAUGCAGCAAAACUUUGCUGUCAGAACUGUCAGAGGCCAGCUGAGCAGAACUUGGGGGGAAUUACAUGCAGCUGGUGGAGAAGCAAUGGAUGUGAAGAGUUUGUGCCAAGGGUUACCUGCUGCCAUCCACCUGGCACGACAGUUGGGUCCUGCUUCAGGAUGGAGUUGAUCCUAGCUUUCUCAGCAGAGCCUCCAAACCCUGCCAGGUGCCCAAGUGCCACAAAAUACGGAACCUUUAGAGAGGUCUCAUACAGGGACCACCAAAGGACAAAUGUGAACAUCUGAAAUCUGAUGCCUCGUCCAAUUGCUAUUGACCGAGGGAUGAUUGCAUUUUAUUCUGAAGGGCUCCAAAAAGCCCCUAUCCUCCAUCCAGAAGGCUCUUUCAGGGACCCGAAGAGUGCUCUGCCCAGGCCUGGCGUGGCGAGUGGACUGGUGGGUGACCUCAGACAACGUGGGGACUGAGUCAGCCGCUGCAGGGAGGAAAGUGAGACUUGCAGGAGACACUGAGAGGGAAGUGAAGCCAUGAAUAUUUAGACAGAGGGAGAGUGGAAUUCAACCUGACACUGAUACACAGGAGGAUUGGAUUGAUAGCAAUAGCCUAAAAUUAGAAGCGGUCUACGGGGGAGUUCGGAGUUCAGGCUCUGGAGACAGACUGGGUGAAAAACUCUGAAUUGGCCACUUACUAGCCCAGUAACCUUGGGCAAACUGAUCAACCUGUCUGUGCCUCAGCUCCCUCAUAUGUAAAGUAAUCUCUACUUUACCUUAAUAGACUUCCUCUACGGGAUCGUUGUGAGGAUUAAGUGACUUCUUGCAACAGUGCUUGGCACAUGAGUCUAGACAACAAAGGUUUCUCUUGUUCCCUCUUUGACCUGGGACUUAAUUCGACAAGAGGCCACAGAGCCCAUGUGCUGACUUGGUGAACACAGCAUCCCAAAGAGACUGUGUGGGGGGAGGAGCCAAGAUGGCUGAAUAGGAACAGCUCAGGUCUACAGCUCCCAGUGUGAGCGACGCAGAAG
rnacentral:lncRNA from 10 species